UACGGAGGGUGCGAGCGUUAAUCGGAAUUACUGGGCGUAAAGCGCACGUAGGCGGCUUCUUAAGUCAGGGGUGAAAUCCUGGAGCUCAACUCCAGAACUGCCCUUGAUACUGAGAAGCUUGAGUCCGGGAGAGGUGAGUGGAACUGCGAGUGUAGAGGUGAAAUUCGUAGAUAUUCGCAAGAACACCAGUGGCGAAGGCGGCUCACUGGCCCGGUACUGACGCUGAGGUGCGAAAGCGUGGGGAGCAAACAGG
rnacentral:rRNA from 1 species